GACGUAGGGGACGAGCGUUGUCCGGAUUCAUUGGGCGUAAAGAGCGCGUAGGCGGCUUGGUAAGUCGGAUGUGAAAUCCCGGGGCUCAACCCCGUGACUGCACCCGAAACUGCUCGGCUAGAGGUAGGUAGGGGAGAUCGGAAUUCCUGGUGUAGCGGUGAAAUGCGCAGAUAUCAGGAGGAACACCGGUGGCGAAGGCGGCUACCUGGACAGAAACUGACGCUGAGGCGCGAAAGCUAGGGGAGCAAACAGG
rnacentral:rRNA from 1 species